UACGUAGGGGGCAAGCGUUGUCCGGAUUUAUUGGGCGUAAAGAGCGUGUAGGCGGUUCGGUAGGUCCGUUGUGAAAACUCGAGCUCAACCUCGAGACGCCGAUGGAAACCCCCGAACUAGAGUCCGGAAGAGGAGAGUGGAAUUCCUGGUGUAGCGGUGAAAUGCGCAGAUAUCAGGAAGAACACCGAUGGCGAAGGCAGGUCUCUGGGCCGAUACUGACGCUGAGGAGCGAAAGCGUGGGGAGCGAACAGG
rnacentral:rRNA from 1 species